rnacentral:misc_RNA from 1 species
UCAGAUAACGAGCUGUGAUAUAGAUGGUAGAUGUUUAAAAGUGAAAUGUGACAUGUUACAAGACCCUAUUCUAGUUCUGCAGGGACCAAAGGGGGGACCAAGGGGCCACCCGCCCCGCCCCGCCACGGGCACCAGUACACCAGUACAAUACGAGGCAGGAAGGUGCAGUACUGUACACGGAACUCAAGAAAACGACGACAUUAAAGGAUUCAACGAGAAGUUGGAAAACAAAGACGAUUCCUUCAAUAUUCUGGAUUUUUACUAACAUAGGUAAGCGAUGUGGACAACUGGUCAGGGCUGGAGGCGUGGCAGAAUAUUAGGGCGUGGCAGUUUGUUACAAAUUGCCCUCCUACUUCUUCUUCACAACAUCAGAGCAGACAACAGUCGACAACAAAAGAUUCAUGAGUUGAUGAGCAAAGAGGAGUUGGCCAGUGUUUUUCAAGUCACAGAGCAUCACUUAGUGCCUGAAUAUGAGGUGGUUCAUGUUCACUCAAGAAAACAGAAAAGAGACACUGAUCCAGUUCAUCAGGUCUCACUCCGUGUAUUUGGUCGGGACCUGGAGCUUGAGCUGAGACGAAACCUGAACCUCGUUCCGGAGAACAGAAACCUCGACCUCUUCUUCGCAGAGAACGACAAGGACGACAUCAGCUACGUCAUCGACGAUCAGAUUGAAUCAGCUGAUUUGGGUUCCGUUUAUCAGGAUGUCAGAACACAAGCAGCACUCCUCCUUUAUAAACAAGAGGCAGGAGAACAGCAUUAUAUGGACGGGACAAUUGGUGAUGAUCUUGUCGUGAAACCAGCACCACCUAGCGUUAAAAACUACAUGUACAACUCACCACUAACGUCAGAGCCUCCCUCUCAUUGGUCCAAUCAUGACGAGAAGACCUCCCAUUGGUCAGACCCAGAUAUUCAUUCAGAUAGAAAUAUUUCCAAACCAAAUUACCUAGAAGAAGAGGAAGAAGACCUACCUGAAGAUUAUGCUUUCUUAGAUGAGGAUGAUGACGUGAAGGCCUACAACAGACUGGACCGAAGAUUUCGGCGGGAUGUCAGCUGUUCCACGUGCAUAAAAACCGGUUUACACAUAGUGUACAAGAGGAAGGAUGAUGAAAAACAUCUGGGGGAUUACGAAAUAAUGGAGACGGAUGAGGACGAAAAACCAGAAACAUUUUCAACCCCAGAGAAUAAAACUCAUUCAAGGAAGAAGCGUCAAGCUCCGUUCAUGAUUUUUCCGGAAAUUCUGGUCAUCGUGGACUACGAUGGAUACAGGCUGCACGGUGAAGACAAUAUUGCUAUUAAACGCUAUGUUAUUUCCUUCUGGAAUGGUGUAGACCUGAGAUAUAAACUGCUGCAGGGACCUAGUGUUAAAAUAUCUAUAGCUGGGAUAAUUAUAUCCAGGGGUCGAGAUGCUACUCCGUAUCUCGAGCGGAAUCGAGUUGGCCGGGAUGCGAUUGAUGCCGCGUCUGCGCUCACGGAUAUGGGGAAAUAUCUGUUCUUAGAACGUCGUCUUCCUGUUUACGAUAUUGCAGUCGCCAUUACAAAACUUGACAUGUGCAGGCGGAAGACCCGGCACGGUGACUGUAACCGAGGAACAGCUGGGUUUGCCUACGUGGGUGGAGCCUGUGUUGUUAACAAGAGAUUAGAGAAGGUGAACAGUGUAGCUAUAGUGGAGGAUACAGGGGGAUUCUCAGGAAUUAUUGUUGCAGCUCAUGAACUUGGACACUUACUUGGAGCUGUUCAUGAUGGUUCUCCUCCCCCCUCCUACCUAGGAGGUCCAGGAGCUGUUAAAUGCAGAUGGGAGGAUGGUUACAUCAUGAGUGAUCUCCGUCACACCAGUAAAGGGUUUAAGUGGAGCUACUGCACGGUCAAUCAAUUCCAUCAUUUUCUCAAUGGAGAAACUGCCACCUGCAUGUACAAUUCCCCUCACGAAGAUGAAAGCCUGCCACGUGUUCUCCCGGGAAAACUGCUUUCUCUUGAUGCACAAUGCCGCAAGGAUCGAGGAACAUCUGCCUGUUUUAAAGACGACCGCGUGUGCGCUCAGUUGUUCUGUUUUGAUGCCGGGUCUGGAUACUGUGUAUCAUAUCGACCUGCAGCAGAAGGUUCACGCUGUGGUGACAAUCAGAUGUGUUUGAACGGCAAAUGUAUAUCUGAAAAUGAGAACGCAAUCGACUACGGAGAUGCCUUCCUCCGAAGAACUGGAACAGCAAUUAGUACAACCUUUGAGGAAGUGCCUGACAAGCAUAGGUUCAGAAAUCAUGGACAUAGAGUCAUCCGAGCCUAGCCUUCAUCUUCUCUAUACUUCCUUUAACCAUGAAACACUAACCCUGCAUGUUAUGAUCUUGCUGUUCUUUCUUCUUUGUGAUUGACUGGGAUCUUCCUUCCUCCCAACCUUCUCCUAC